rnacentral:lncRNA from 1 species
AUGUGCUGUAAGGUACCAAGCAAAAGAAAUGUAAGGCAUUGGCUUUUUCGGGUAGCCUCGUUUUUCAGGUGGGGAAAACGAGGCACCCACAGCUCCCACGCUCUACCAAAGUCCUUGCACUGUGCGGAGGAAAGCAGAGGCCAGAAGUUUAGAACAUCUUCCCUGCAUGGGAGAAAGAGCACUCAGGCUCCCUGGUACUGCUGUGAAAGAGUGUGUACCACAGAUGCUACUCCGUACUACGUUGCACACCUCCCAGAGUCAACACGGCUUCUCCCUACAGCCCAGAAUAUAACGGUUGCUUUAGCCAAGGAAAGAGGAUGACCCUCAGGAGAGAUCCAUCGCCUGCAUUUCACAAACAUAUGAUGCACGCAACGCAAUCUCCUUGACGCUUUCGUUCAUAAGCCAAUAAAAGCCAGUCUUCAGUUUCAAAGAAUAUGUGCAAUUCUUUAACAUUGCAUUCCUCAAACCUGUCAUCAGGUUUUCACAAUGUUGUCGUACUCAUGGCCACCUGUACUUUUUCACAGAAUAUUCUCCAUUAACCGACUAAUUUCUUUUACUUGAAUAACUUUAAAGCAACGCACUGUUACUACUAUCGGAAGCAAAAAUGUACAUGAAGUCAUGCUUUCUAUGGUUAAAGAAUGUACAUGAAAUCAUAGUUUUAAUACACAUUACAAUGAACAUAAUAUCGUGUAUUCAUUCAGCUAUUGGAAAUAAAACAUCUUCAGCCAUGUACUAUCACCUUAUAUCCUAGCAUCGAGGUACUCCCCACUCUUAGAGAACACGGUUCCUUACAUGACAAUGUCUUACACUUUAUUGUGUUAAGAAUAAGCCCUGGUUUAAUUCAACUCUACUUUCAAGACCAUCUCAAAAUAUCGCACAUCAAAACUCUCAUAUCGGUGCACUUCAAAGAAACACGUAUUCUGACAUUCAGAAUCUACAAAAACUAAGCCUCCCUAUCUUAGAAGAGUUCCUAGUUGAUAUUUCCCCUUGGCUUAUCGUUUUAGUGUUUUGGUAUUAAUCUUGUUUUCAACCCUCUACCUUGAAGUUAAAUACCCUCUUCGAGUGUUUUCACUGGCAUCACACACACACACACACACACACACACCCCACAUGUGGACCUACAGAUUGGAAUGGAAGAGUAAUUGUAAUAUUUCACACAUCAGAGAGACCAAAAAAUGUGUCGGCCAGUGGCUGCCUCCCCAUCUUUUUCCCUUUAAUUUUGAUUCUAUGUAAUUUAUGACAUGUGGAACUAAAGAGACUCUGAUGUGGGGCUUAAAAAAAGAACACAACUUGAGAGAGUGAGUAGAGUAGAAUCGAGCCCCUUCAUUAAACCUGAUUUAUGUAGUCAUUCCUGACAAAUUUUCCUUCCACAUUUUUGAAUGAGACAGAAAAAAAAAAAAAAAACUCAUUCUAGAGCAGGUGCCCAUAAAUAUGAUGGCUACCUUCACGUUUUCUUAGGCCA